rnacentral:rRNA from 1 species
GACAGAGGGUGCAAACGUUGCUCGGAAUCACUGGGCGUAAAGGGCGUGUAGGCGGGACGGUAAGUCGGGCGUGAAAUCCCUAGGCUCAACCUAGGAACUGCACUCGAAACUACCAUUCUUGAGUGUCGGAGAGGAAAGCGGAAUUCCUGGUGUAGAGGUGAAAUUCGUAGAUAUCAGGAGGAACACCAGUGGCGAAGGCGGCUUUCUGGACGAUAACUGACGCUGAGACACGAAAGCGUGGGGAGCAAACAGG